rnacentral:rRNA from 1 species
GGGCCCGCACAAGCGGUGGAGCAUGUGGUUCAAUUCGAUGCAGAGCGAAGAACCUUACCUGGGCUUGACAUGCAGGAAGUAGGAACCCGAAAGGGGGACGACCCGUUAAGUCGGGAGCCUGCACAGGUGGUGCAUGGCUGUCGUCAGCUCGUGCCGUGAGGUGUUGGGUUAAGUCCCGCAACGAGCGCAACCCUCACCCUAUGUUGCCAACGGUUCGGCCGGGCACUCUUAGGGAACUGCCGGCGAAGAGCUGGAGGAAGGGGGGGAUGACGUCAAGUCCGUAUGCCCCUUAUGUCCAGGGCUACACACAUGCUACAAUGGUCGGUACAGAGGGUUGCCAACCCGCAAGGGGGAGCCAAUCCCACAAAGCCGAUCUCAGUUCGGAUUGUAGGCUGCAACUCGCCUACAUGAAGUCGGAAUCGCUAGUAAGCGCAGAUCAGCAGGCUGCGCUGAAUACGUUCCCGGGCCUU